UGUAGGGUAUUGCUCCUGCCACUGUUAACCAACAGAAACCACCCAAAGCUUUCUCUUUUCUCCAUCUUUGGAGAAUCACAACUCCUUUCGGCAAAGUGAGGGGGGUAAUUGCAGGACGGUCCUCUGGGUGACCAGCACCUGCCUGGUUCUUCCCUCUUCCUUGCUUGUAGUUCUCAAAAUAACUGAAAUGUGUGGGGACUGCAACAUCCUGAGAUAGGUGACAGUGGGUGGGAACAGCCCGGGCUUGGUUCCCGUCCCCCCUAGAAACUGGUGUCAUUCAAUGUUUUAGCCUCUGGGUCAUGUGAUCUCUAGGGUAUCCCACCCAUGACAGGCUGCCUUUGGGGGUCCCUUAGCUGUGGUGCAAAUGAGGCACACAGUCAGACUCCAUGUGUGCUGAGCAAGUGUCCCGAGCCUUGGGGUCCCUCUCAUCAUGAACCCAGCCUCCGCUGUCCCUCGCUGCCUGUCUGUUGGUAGUAAAUCCGCUUCGUGUAACCAGUUGCCUGUGAGUGUGCUGUGCCUCCCUGGACUCACACGAGCUGGUGCCCAGUGACCUGCUUCACAGGAACACUUGCCAUGCCACGUGACAGAAUUGGGCGAGGCCACUCCACGUGGACAGACACCGAGUUGACAAUCCAGAGGGACCAGUUUUGGUGAGAGAUACAAGAAGGUGUGCCUGAUCUUCAACUAGACAGGGGGUUUUGGCGAGAGCCAGGACUCCAGGAAAGGGCACAGCCCAGGCAGCACCGGCCUGCCAUGUCUGCACUUCCCCCCUCUGAGCUCUUUCAGAAAACCUCGUUUCUGCUCCAGAUACGGAGUAUCGUCAGCAGAGCAGUGUUGGCUCUGGCUCCUGGAGGACAUACAGACAGGAGAAUUCACAAAGGAGGGAGGCGGCAGCUCCCAUUCCACCUCCUGACCUGCAGGGCAGCUCCCACCACUGUGGUUUGGGAGUGAAGAGCAGGCUCUUGGCUCAGCAUGUGCUCAGGUGUGCGCUGGAAAUUCCAGGUGCCGGGAUUGCAGCAGUCUUCCAAAUCCCAUGUGUAUGUUACACGUUUUGGAGUCGCUCAGCAGAACGCGUGUCCAGCCUGCACCCACUGGACAGAAGAGCUCUCGAGAGCGUGUUUUACGGACCGUGCGAAAUCCAUCAUUUCCAGGCAAGUACUUCUCCAAUUAGCUUUGUUUCUUCCCUCUUCAGAAACACAUUGCAUGGGUCUUCUCCACACGCAGGGCUGGGGGGUGCGGUGUGCUGAGGUUGUGUGAGGGUAUGUGGGUGUGGGUACGUAUGUGUAUGUGCACGUGUGCACGUUUGUGUAUGUGUGCAUGUGCAUGUGUUUAUAUCCAUGUGUGUUUAUGUGUAUGUUCAUAUGUGUGUGUUCAUGUCUGUGUGUGUCUAUGUGUGUAUGUGUUUUUGUGUGUAUGUGUUCAUAUAUGUGUAUGUGCAUGUGCGUGUGUGCGUCUAGCAACUUCAUCC
rnacentral:lncRNA from 1 species